rnacentral:rRNA from 1 species
GACGAACGCUGGCGGCGUGCUUAACACAUGCAAGUCGAACGGAAAGGCCCUGCUUUUGUGGGGUGCUCGAGUGGCGAACGGGUGAGUAACACGUGAGUAACCUGCCCUUGACUUUGGGAUAACUUCAGGAAACUGGGGCUAAUACCGGAUAGGAGCUCCUGCUGCAUGGUGGGGGUUGGAAAGUUUCGGCGGUUGGGGAUGGACUCGCGGCUUAUCAGCUUGUUGGUGGGGUAGUGGCUUACCAAGGCUUUGACGGGUAGCCGGCCUGAGGGGGUGACCGGCCACAUUGGGACGGAGAUGCGGCCCAGCCUCCUACGGGAGGCAGCAGUGGUGAAUAUUGCACAAUGGGCGGAAGCCUGAUGCAGCAACGCCGCGUGCGGGAUGACGGCCUUCGGGUUGUAAACCGCUUUCGCCUGUGACGAAGCGUGAGUGACGGUAAUGGGUAAAGAAGCACCGGCUAACUACGUG